UACGUAGGUGGCAAGCGUUGUCCGGAUUUACUGGGCGUAAAGAGCGCGCAGGCGGUCGUUCAAGUCGCGUGUGAAAGCCCCCGGCUCAACUGGGGAGGGUCACGCGAUACUGAUCGACUCGAAGGCAGGAGAGGGUAGUGGAAUUCCCGGUGUAGUGGUGAAAUGCGUAGAUAUCGGGAGGAACACCAGUGGCGAAGGCGACUCACUGGACAUGUAUUGACGCUGAGGUGCGAAAGCGUGGGGAGCAAACAGG
rnacentral:rRNA from 1 species